AGGACGAACGCUGGCGGCGUGCUUAACACAUGCAAGUCGAGCGACAGUGUUCUUCGGAACAUAUGGAGCGGCGAACGGGUGAGUAACACGUGGGCAACCUGCCCCUAGCUCUGGGAUAACUCCGGGAAACCGGGGCUAAUACCGGAUACGAUCUUCCAUGGCAUCUCGGAAGAUGGAAAGUUUUUUCGGCUAGGGAUGGGCCCGCGGCCUAUCAGCUUGUUGGUGAGGUAACGGCCCACCAAGGCGACG
rnacentral:rRNA from 1 species